rnacentral:rRNA from 1 species
CCUACGGGAGGCAGCAGUGGGGAAUAUUGGACAAUGGGCGAAAGCCUGAUCCAGCAAUGCCGCGUGAGUGAUGAAGGCCUUCGGGUCGUAAAGCUCUUUUACCAGGGAUGAUAAUGACAGUACCUGGAGAAUAAGCUCCGGCUAACUCCGUGCCAGCAGCCGCGGUAAUACGGAGGGAGCUAGCGUUGUUCGGAAUUACUGGGCGUAAAGAGUACGUAGGCGGUUAUUCAAGUCAGAGGUGAAAGCCCGGGGCUCAACCCCGGAACUGCCUUUGAAACUAGAUAACUAGAGUCUUGGAGAGGUUAGUGGAAUUCCGAGUGUAGAGGUGAAAUUCGUAGAUAUUCGGAAGAACACCAGUGGCGAAGGCGACUAACUGGACAAGUACUGACGCUGAGGUACGAAAGCGUGGGGAGCAAACAGGAUUAGAUACCCUGGUAGUCCACGCCGUAAACGAUGAUAACUAGUUGUUCGGUCACUUGGUGACUGAGUGACGCAGCUAACGCAUUAAGUUAUCCGCCUGGGGAGUAGUCGCAGAUAACUACAAGAAGUAGAGGCGNGAAGAGUGCGAGACGACGACGAGGAGAGG